UGCACCUGUGGCAGAGAAGCAGAGGUCAGCCUCCCAUGGCUGGACCACAACACCCGAUCCACAAGGGAAGUGCCAAGGCCCAGCAAGACCAGCAGGCCCGAGACUCCCAGCUGGAAUACCUUUGGGGAACAGAGGUCCCCACACCCCGGGGAACGCCAACUCCGACAUCAGUUCCCUGGGAUGGAGGCCAGGGCCAGCCACACAGCUGAUAGCCAGCCAGGCUCGGCCUCCUCAGCUCCCUUCCCUGGCUGCUUCCUUCCUCCCUCUGCCGGGUCUCUGCCCCUCUCCCUGCAAGCCUCUGACUCCUCCCUUGCUCUCUGUCCCCCUUUCUGUAUCUCUCUUGUCACGGUCUGGGGCAGUCUCUGUCGGCCUCCUUCCCACCUCUGUGGUGUUCCCUGCUUUCAUGUCCCGCCCUCUCCCUCGGCCUGGGCCCCUGCCGCCCUCCUCAUGAGGGCUCAUCUUUGCUCCUUCUCCAUCGAAGGGUCUUUGUCCCGGGCACCCAAAGCACGACCUCAAAUUCCUUCCCAGAGCUGUGUGUGCCUCCAUGAGCAUGGGUGGGAGGAACUCUGUCCAUUCCAGUCCCACACGAAGAGACAGGGACACAGUCACCCCCACACAGGCCUUUGCCCCUCCCUCCCGUCCUCAGCUGGAGAAGGCUUGAUCAAAUCCUUCGAAAGUAAGGACGACCUGCUGCCGGGAGUCACUUACUCGCAGGUGUCACGGUGGGCACGCCCCCCCACAAAUAAACACAAAGCAAAGGCAGCAGGCAUCCACGCCGCCCUCCGAGCUGGCAGAACCCAGGCUGACGUGCCCACUUCCCAGAGUCACAACAAGGUAUGAAAUGCUAACCGACCAACAUGGCCAGGAACUCAAAAGACGACAACUUGGGCCUCACUCAGAGGGGGAAAGCCAGGAGGGGAGAGGGAGGAAUGAAGGGAGGAGAGACGGAAAUGGGGAACCGCAGAGAAAACCAAGAGGCCAAGAGGAGAAGGGACCACAGGGCAGGCGCAUGAGCAGAGCGGCAGGCUGCUUCCUGUGGCCAGUCCCUGGCCCCAGCACGGCACCCUGGCCUGGCACUGGCCCUCCCACAGCUGCUCUGUCUCUCCACCCUUUUGUCCUCAAGUCUGUUUGGACACAGAGUCCCUUCCCAGGAGGGCUCUGAGACUGUUCUCACACAGUGAGUGACUUGGGGUGGUAUAUCCCAGAUGACUCGGGCUCCAGCUCCUUAAAAGCUCCUACCUACAGCGAGGCCCUAAGCAACUUGGCAAGACCCUGUCUCCAAAAAAAAAGGACAGUUGAUGUCAUGGCCAUCUAAGGCCUUGCUCACACACAGGUGCUGGGACGAAGUCUACCUGUCCCCAGAAGCCUAGCUUUGCUGAGGGUCGGAUGUGUGGCCGUUUAUGGAGGCCUUGGCCACCAUGCCCAGGAAUAAAACCUGGCUCAGAACCUGGCUCGGAUUCCUCCUGGGCCUGCCAACUCCUGGAGCAGCAGCCCUGGACAGGACCCCAAGCCGCCUGAGGGCUCAACCCACCCCUCCAUCAAGGCCUUCGCAGCAGGGAGAAGCCAUCAGCCAGUGGCAAAGCAUCGCUGGUUAGCUAGGUCCUGGGGAGAAGUGCCACCACAGACGGUCUAUGCUGGCCACGGCUGUACACAUCAGGCAAACAUCCUCCGUCAACUGCACCCGUCCCCUGGUGGCCAGGGAGCCCCUGGCAGAGCCUCAGAGGGCUCUGAAAGACCCUCGUGUGACUGCUAUCCCCAACAGCAUGCCUCCUUGCAGAGAGGCUGGGUGUGGCUCAGCCGCGGAGCGUGUGCCUAGAGCAAGUGAGACCCGCCUCCACCCCCAGCUCACCUCUUGCCGCGGGUCUUCCGCAAACCUCUGAAUCACAUACUUCAGCUCCCUGGAAGAGAUGGGCAGGCAGGUCACUCCUGGCCUGGGUAGACAGGGGGGUGGAGGCAUGGGGCAGGGAGGGGUCAGGUCACAGAGGGAACGUCUGACAGGGCAAGGCGUGUUGCUAGGACAGGCUGGACAGCUGCAGGAGCACGUCCAGGAGGAUACACUGCUGCCUCCCAGAAUGCACGUGGCUCAGAAAAUGGGCUAAGAGGCUGGCCAUGGAGGGUGACCUCAGAACAGAGGACGUGCCACCCAGGAGCAGGGAGGAGGGUGGAGGGUGCUGCCACCGGAGUACUCACUUGGUGAACUUCUCGUGCGCAAGUGCUCUGUGCAGAAAACAAGGGAAACACGCAGUCAGCACGGGCUUCCUAGCCACUCCAGAGCGGCCCUAGGACUGUCUGACUUUGUGUUCGACUCGAAGAAUGAAGAGGGGGUUAAAAUGAAAGACUGACAUUUUGUCCCCACUCAGAGCUCCAAACAAAGGCCUCCUUUGAGGAGUGACAAGUCCUAGCAAGGUGACAGGCUAAGCCCAUGCCCUCCUGCCACCAGCAGGGGCGCUAACCGGGUGCUGAGCUUGUGCAGUUGCACGUGGGCUCUGGAGACCCAGGUGUCGUUAAUCGUUCCACUGUCAAGGCCUGGCUGCACUAAUUACCGCUGCACAUCGGCAGGCAGCCGGGGACCAUUUUUCAAGCGAACUGCAUCAUGGGCCACUGUCAAGUGUGUGCCUGGGCCUGUGGGGACACUGGCUGUAACCAAUGACGCCACAGCCCUUCCGAGACCCAAAGCAGCUCUCAGGAGUUGGAUUUCUCCGGUCUCCAGACCUCGGCCCGUGGGAACAGGACGGGCCAGCAAAUGGGGCAAUUACCGGUGUAAUGCCUCCCUUAGAGGAACUGCAUUUCAUAAACAGGGGCUCCUUAAUGGGCUCCGGAGAGAGCCCAGGCCGGCCCCCGAGGCCAGGCCUCUUCACACGGAUCAAAACAGACCUGGAGGCAUGUGGAGACCUGGGCCCGAGGCAGAGCUCUUGGCUCCCCUAGGCCAUCACCACAGAUGGCACUAUUUUCCUGUGAUGCUUCUGAUACUGGGAUCAGGGCUGGCAGAGACAGAGGGUCCAUUUCAGCCCAAAUUCACGGUGGAGCCUGAGCUAAUCACCAUAACAGGGUGGUGAGAGCUUCCUGCACUUUACCAUGCUGCUGCCUGCAGACAGUUCCAAGUGCAUUUUCUUUGGAUUUUCACCAUCCCCCUUGGAGACAGAGUGGCAGGUGUUAUUUCCCUUUUGACGCACACUAAAAAUUGCUAACUUGAUGCCGCAAGGCUUCAUGGGAAGGCUGCUGCCUCCUGAGCUCAGCCGAUCCUUGCCACAGAGCCCUAGGCCUCGGGAGUCUCCUCUAACUCCCUGUGGCGUCCACCCUGCUCUCCCCGUGACUGGCUGUGCCCCUGCCAUGACGUGCCCUGGGAGGUUUCCCUGCAGUGGGGGUUCAGGGCAGUGCACUUACUCUUUGGGGAAUGGAAUGGGUUGAAGCAAGCUGGCCAGAGACGGUCUCCAGUCAUCAUAGUCGGACCUGGAAUGAGAAAACGUGGUGAGGACAGUGGUCAGGGCGAGGCUGUUGAUGUGCCGCCCUGGGUGGGCAGCAGGAUGAGAUGCUAGUCUGGUGAGUUUGCCCACUUCAAGGUCCAAGAGUGGUGGAGGGCACAAGCACCUCAUGUCCACAGUGCAGCAUGAGGUCACCAGCAGACCCAGGCCAGCUUCCAGACGGCAAAUGCAGGGUUACUGCCUACUACCCAGGAUCUCAGACCUGCCCCACCCCUGAACAAAGCCUUCGCUGUCAUUAUCCAUGCCUUCUCUUGAACCACCAGGAGUUGUUAGGGGCCAAAUUGUGUCCCCCUGACCCAAAUUCAUGCUGGCGUUCCAGCCCCUAGGACCUCAAAGUAUGACUGUAUUUGGGAAUCAGCCCUUUAAAGUCGUGUCAAACGCAGCCCUCAGGGCAGGCUCCUCCAACCCACUCACAUCCACACAAGAAGGGGAAGCCCAGACACCAGGACACAUUAGGUGUGUGCAUGCCACGAGAAGGUGACCCCCUGGAGUGCUGAUAUAAGAGGCCUCAGGAAAUACCCCCCACCGAUGCCCUCAUUCCAGUCUCCUUCUCGGAGUGGAGAGAACACACGCUUCUGCUGGUCAAGCUGCGCGGUACUCAGUGUCCUGUGCUGGCCAUCAAGCACGCUGACACGGCCAUGCUACCCUCGACCAGAAAUGAAGGGGCAGCUGUAGGUGCCACGCUGUCUGAGGGCAGUCCAGGUACCUCCUGUUGUACUGGAUGCUUCGAUUCCUGCUUCCAGACAACUGCUUUCUUUCUGCAGCUGAGGCGACACUGAGAAUGCUGCGAUUCCGUCACCUGCAGUGCUACACUAGAGCGCGCUGAGCGAGCACUUCGCCCGCACCAGCCCAUGGAGUCUGCUAGGCAGCCCCGGCAGAGCCCCAACUGUCCCUGACGAGCUGUCAGGCGCCUGGCAAGUAACUGCAGAGCUGCUCCACGUGGGCACAGGAGGGAAGCAAUGCCUGGGAGCCCCCGGGUGGGCAGGGCUGCUCCCGUCCCACCAGGUCAGCUUCUAAAAGAAGGAAGUGUACUGCCCACUCCUGCCCCAAGAAGCCAGAGCAAGAGGGUCUGGGAUGGGGGGGCGAGCCAGAGUCUCAGUCUGAAAAGAAACGGCCUGCACACUGCGGCAGAGCUUCCUGAGGACCCCGUUCUACAGAUGAGGGAAACCAAGGUUCAGAGAUGCCUUGUACCUGCUACAGGUCGGAGCUGGUAGUUGAGGUAUGGCCUGAGGUGCUCUAAGGCACAAUCCACCUUGUCUCCCUCCCCAAGCCUACACUGACUAUUUGUAACACUGACUAUAAUUUGGUUACAAACUGAGUUGCUGAUUUCUCUGGCUUUGGGGACUUAACUGAAAGUAAACCCAGAGGUAGGUGGCUCUUGCCGAAUGUCCUAAGCCAAGCCUGGCACUGCAAGGUCCAGGGCCGAGGCCCUCACGCAGGGAGAGAGGGCACUGUCAGGGCAGUCCCCCAGGCAGAAGGGUCCCUGCCUACUCCCCAGGAUCUCAGACCGCCCUCCGGCCCAGGCAGCGGUUGGGGCUCACCUAUGUAGCCCCUAUGGUGGGUGCUGGCCCGGGACAUGGCUGGUGCUUGGGAGAGGUGACACAGCCUGGGGACUGUGGUUCACUUAGAGCAGAAGGGGACAUUGAUCAGUCUCCAUUCUGUGGAGCUGUGAGAGGAUGGCAGAGAGCCUGUCUUGGGCCAGGGGCAAAGGGCUGGCACAUGGGGGGCAGAGGGAUGACCAGGGGCCCCAAGCCUGAUUCUUGUUCUUGGGACCUGUGACUCCUUUACACUGGGAACACAGUGUUUCUCAGCCUCCCUAUCCUGACCUCCACCAGGAGCGGUUUUCCUAAUCGCCUCCUCCCCACAUACAUUUUAACACACUCUGUCUGUUGUCUGUGUGCUGUACACCUACAGGGCCUUAGAAACAGCAAACCUGUCUCCACCACGUAGGACAAACACUAGCUUCUGUGGAUCAUGCCUGGUUUAGAGACCCCCUGGAUGAGGGCUCUUCCUGCCCGGCCUUCCUCCAAACAAACCCAUGAUAUAGUGGCAGCCUUUGGAACCUGGACCGAUCCCUUGAAGAUUCCUGAGGAAAGGCCCAGAUGUCGGACGCCUGGGAGAGAACUGCCAGGAGCCCGGUGGCCCAAGGAGCCGCCUGAUGCCCCCCUCGUCUCCUCCAGCCCAUCCUGCAGCCAGCAGCAGCGUGACCUGAGCCUCUGGCAGUGAAAUCCCACGAGGGCCUCCUUCACUUCCAACGCACACUGACUCUCCAGCCUUCUCAGAAUAAAUCCUGCCAGUGA